rnacentral:rRNA from 1 species
GACGAACGCUGGCGGUAUGCUUAACACAUGCAAGUCGAACGAGAAGACCCGGAAGUGCUUGCACGGAAGGGAAGAAAGUGGCGAACGGGUGAGUAACGCGUGGGUAACCUGCCCUAUGGAAAGGAAUAGCCUUGGGAAACCGGGAGUAAAGCCUUAUAAGAUGGCAAAGCCGCAUGGUUUAGCCAUAAAAACUAUGGUGCCAUAGGAUGGACCCGCGUCCCAUUAGCUAGUUGGUGAGAUAACAGCUCACCAAGGCGACGAUGGGUAGCCGGUCUGAGAGGGCGAACGGCCACACUGGAACUGAGACACGGUCCAGACUCCUACGGGAGGCUG